GAGUUUGAUCAUGGCUCAGAACGAACGCUGGCGGCAGGCCUAACACAUGCAAGUCGAGCGCGCCUUCGGGUGAGCGGCGGACGGGUUAGUAACGCGUGGGAACGUGCCCUUCUCUACGGAAUAGCCUCUGGAAACGGAGAGUAAUACCGUAUACGCCCUUUGGGGGAAAGAUUUAUCGGAGAAGGAUCGGCCCGCGUUAGAUUAGGUAGUUGGUGGGGUAACGGCCUACCAAGCCUACGAUCUAUAGCUGGUUUUAGAGGAUGAUCAGCAACACUGGGACUGAGACACGGCCCAGACUCCUACGGGAGGCAGCAGUGGGGAAUCUUAGACAAUGGGGGCAACCCCGAUCUAGCCAUGCCGCGUGAGUGAUGAAGGCCUUAGGGUCGUAAAGCUCUUUCGCCUGUGAUGAUAAUGACAGUAGCAGGUAAAGAAACCCCGGCUAACUCCGUGCCAGCAGCCGCGGUAAUACGGAGGGGGUUAGCGUUGUUCGGAAUUACUGGGCGUAAAGCGCGCGUAGGCGGAUUAGAAAGUUGGGGGUGAAAUCCCGGGGCUCAACCUCGGAACUGCCUCCAAAACUGCUAGUCUAGAGUUCGAGAGAGGUGAGUGGAAUUCCGAGUGUAGAGGUGAAAUUCGUAGAUAUUCNGAGGAACACCAGUGGCGAAGGCGGCUCACUGGCUCGAUACUGACGCUGAGGUGCGAAAGUGUGGGGAGCAAACAGGAUUA
rnacentral:rRNA from 1 species